AAGCCUUAAACUGAUGAGUAAGGAAAAUACUGAUGUGGAGUGGCGCCCAUGUCCUCAUGCAUGUACACAAGAAGAAUUUCUGAAAGGAUACAGGUCUGUCUGUUGAGGUAACUCUUCUGCAUCAUGAGAUGCCUCGCAGAACCAGAAUCUGUCAC
ensembl:snRNA U12 U12 minor spliceosomal RNA